GUGAGCACAGUGGUGAACCAAACAAGUAAAUGCAGGUAGAGGGCAGCAGCAGCAGCAGCUGCUGCUGCUGAUGCUGAUGCUGCAGAGCCACCGCCACCAAGCAAAGCCAUUGGAGAGAUUAAAAAAACCCACAAACAAACAAGAUGAGGUUACCUCAGAAGAAGCACUUGACGAUGUGUUGCUAUAGUUGCUUGUACUGCUCCUUGGUGGAUUUGGAUGAUUUUGCUGAGGGCCUGUAGUAGUUUGUUUUUGACCCUCCU